CCGAUCAACCUUUUGAACCCGCAUCGAACUUCUCGAGAGCUCGAGCCACCGCCAUCGAAGAAAGGCGAGGGUGACUCUAAUAGCGUAGCAUGGGCGUCAAGGGACUUUGGAGCUAUGUGGAGCACCACAGCAUCCAGUAUGCAUUCCCCAACAAAAAUGCGCGCGCAGACUGCUACGCGGCGAACCCGCGCCAUCUUCUGGUGGACAUGAAUGCCGUGCUGCAUAUUGCAUACGACCCCACGAGGCCGACGACUGCAGCGACGCUGCGCGCGGUGACAGCAAAGAUGGAUGAGCUGCUCACGCGUGUGCGGGCCCGCGACACGCUGGUCCUUGUGUACGACGGCGUGGCGCCGAUUGCGAAGCUCAAGACGCAGAAGGAGCGCCGCAACUCCCUCUCUGUACACCCGCCUCGUCCCGCCACAGCAGUCGCCUCCUCGAAGGGCAGCGGAAACAGCAGCAUCCGUGUUUCACCGUGGUACACGUGCGACCCUGUGCUGGGCGAAGUGCCCCUGCACCGUGAGGAGAUCCUCUGCGGGGCAGAGUUCGUGCUCGCCUGCGAGGAGUACAUCACAACAUACCUUCAGCAGCGCAAGGCCCACUACUCCUGGGCGAAGCUGAUCGUAAGCGGGUGCUGCGAGCCGGGGGAGGGUGAGGUGAAGAUGUCUGCGCUCCUACGCAGGCUCUGGGCUGAGACAGUCGCCGAUGGCAGCUACAGCCAAGACGAUGUCGUGACGAUGGUGGGCAACGACUCGGACCUCAUCCUGGUCGCCAUGGUGGCUGUCCCGUACUCGUACUACACCCUGAUCGACCCAUUUGACCUCAGCCUCACGUCUCUGUGGGAGCUGAUGAACCACUGGUCCCAGGCCGUGCCGAACCCUCCACUGCCAGCUGAGCUGCUCCCUUCCUACCGCAUCGAUUUUGUGUUCCUGAUGCUGCUCUCCGGCGACGACUACUACGAGGGCAUCGGAGGCGACAGCAUCGCGCUGUGGCGGCGGUACCGCCAUCUACGCGUGAACGAGGGCUACUUCCGCCGUGCCCUGAUCUCCGGAGGACACCUCGAGCUGGAUGUGGAGUUUCUGCGCGCGGUGCUCGCGCGUAGUGGCUCCAUGGCGACACAGCUCUUGCGCGUCCCACGCAACAAGCGCAAGACGACCAAGGCGCUUCUGCGCGGUGGCGGCGGUUGUGGGGGCGGCGGCGCCAAGGAAGGGACGCAGCUUCUAGCGGCGGCGCUAUGGAGCCUGCGAAGCUACGUAUUCGGUCGGUGCCCCGACUACGGCUUCUUCCCGCACCGGGAAGGACCUCCGUCCGUGGGCUCGUUGCGCGCUGCCGCGCACGUGCGGGGGCUGAGUCGGAAGAUCGGCUGCGGUAUCGCGGAGGGAGCUGCCAACGCGGAGACGGCAGACGCUGGGAAAGUAGAGGAGGUGACGAGUCCUGUCGGCCCCGUCUUUGCGCCGCUUGAGCAGUGCAUUGCUGUGCUGGGUAUUCGUGGCCGCUUCUCAGUCGAGCUGAGCCGUGCCAUUCGAGUGAGCACCCAAGACGAUGGGCACAGGCUGACGACGAGCACGUCUAUUGGCCUUCUGACGGAGAACGUAAGGAACAUCAUGACAUCUGUGGACACAGCGCGACUAACGGAGGCGGAGCGGCGGUUGAGUCAUUGCCACAGCGCAGGAGCCGAGGAUGAAGAUGUCGGAGCUUUUAUGCGGCUGGCCGCCAUCCUUUCCCGAAAAGCGGCGCCGGCGGCUUUCGAGGGGGAGAAGCGACUCAAUCAGUCCGACGAGGUACAGCAGGGGAGGACAGAGUAAAGCGAUGGGGAGGACGACGGGGACGACGACGGGGUAGCAGCAGCGUAGGAAAAGCAAAGGAAACGGCGUAGUUUGGUGGGCAUGACAGACACGCAGCUGCAUCGCUGUCCCCCCCCCCGGUCACCUCCCCUCCCCCUUCCUUGCAGGACACCUUUGCGGCUGCUGAGACUGCAGCCUCGUCGCCCUUACCUGGCCGUGUAAGUGACUGCCGCCACGCACGCCCUGCCAAAACACGGCUGCACGGGAUCGCGUAGCCAGCCUCUCUCUCGCCUCAUCCCAAGGAGAACAGUGCACUCCACCGACAAGCGUUGCUCACAAACCGGCAAGCCGGAUCGCCC
rnacentral:misc_RNA from 1 species